GGCCCCGAGGUGUUACACGUAUGAUUGCAAGUCUUAAGAAGCAAAGUAGUUUUUGCCGGGGCUU
rnacentral:tRNA from 1 species